UUAAUAAGAUUGUUUGUUAAGAAGAUCUCUAAUGUCUCCUGAAUCCUGAUUGGAAAGCACACGUUUUUCACGGUUCUCAGAUGUUUGUGAUGACAAGGGGACAGACAUUAAAACUGAAAAUCUGAAUCUG